GACGAACGCUGGCGGCGUGCUUAACACAUGCAAGUCGAACGAAGUGGCGAACGGGUGAGUAACGCGUAAUCAACCUGCCCUUCAGAGGGGGACAACAGUUGGAAACGACUGCUAAUACCGCAUACUGAAGGAGGGGUUUGCGUCUGAUUAGCUAGUUGGAGGGGUAACGGCCCACCAAGGCGAUGAUCAGUAGCCGGUCUGAGGAGAUGAACGGGCAAAUUGGGAAUGGGAAACGGGCCAGACUCCCUACGGAGGCAGGAGGGGGGAAUCUUCCGAAAUGGAGGAAAGUCUGAAGGCGCAAAGCCGCGGGAGUUAUGACGGCCUUCGGGUUGUAAAGCUCUGUUAAGCGGGACGCGGUACCGGAAUAGAAAGCCACGGCUAACUACGUGCCAGCAGCCGCGGUAAUUC
rnacentral:rRNA from 1 species